CAGUCAAGAAAAAAAAAAAAAAAAUGCAAGUCAGGACGCUAGAAGGUUUAUUUCUAUAAUUUCAGAUAAAUUCUUAGUUUUAAAAAAAAUGAAUAAAAACAAAUCUAUAAUGUCUCAAACCCAAUUUAUGGAAGUUCAUUUAAAAAAAAGAAAAAAAAAAUAAUAAUUUAAAAAAAAUAGAUGUCAGUUCUUUGAUGAGACUCAAUACAAUACAUAAUUUUUUUUUUGCAUACAUAUGAAACAGCUUUGAAAUAAAAGUUAAAAGUUCUGAAAAUACUAAUAAAAUGGCAGAGUGAAGCAAUUCACAAGUGUCCUCUAGGUUACACCAUGUCAUCUGGUCAAUCGUUACAAUGUAUAAGAAAACAUUUUGAUAAGGUGCAUAUAUAUGAAAGAGGACUAUAAGAAUAAAUAAUGUACUGUAGAAGAACAGAACACAUGAUAAAAAUACACAGUAUAAAUGUCUUGUGUACAAGGGCAUUGCCAUAUCAAUUUUAAGAAAAUAUAAACCUAGCCUUAUGCAGUGUUUAAAAGAAAUGUUUUGUUCUUUAGUUAAAGUAGAAUACAUUACAAAAAAAAAAAAAAAAAAAG